rnacentral:rRNA from 1 species
GAAAUGGCGUCUAAUACCGGAUACGAGCUUCAGCCGCAUGGCUAGGAGUUGGAAAGAAUUUUGGUCAAGGAUGGACUCGCGGCCUAUCAGCUAGUUGGUGAGGUAAUGGCUCACCAAGGCGACGACGGGUAGCCGGCCUGAGAGGGUGACCGGCCACACUGGGACUGAGACACGGCCCAGACUCCUACGGGAGGCAGCAGUGGGGAAUAUUGCACAAUGGGCGAAAGCCUGAUGCAGCAACGCCGCGUGAGGGAUGACGGCCUUCGGGUUGUAAACCUCUUUUAGUAGGGAAGAAGCGAAAGUGACGGUACCUGCAGAAAAAGCACCGGCUAACUACGUGCCAGCAGCCGCGGUAAUACGUAGGGUGCAAGCGUUGUCCGGAAUUAUUGGGCGUAAAGAGCUCGUAGGCGGUUUGUCGCGUCUGCUGUGAAAUCUGGGGGCUCAACCCCCAGCCUGCAGUGGGUACGGGCAGACUAGAGUGCGGUAGGGGAGAUUGGAAUUCCUGGUGUAGCGGUGGAAUGCGCAGAUAUCAGGAGGAACACCGAUGGCGAAGGCAGAUCUCUGGGCCGUAACUGACGCUGAGGAGCGAAAGCAUGGGGAGCGAACAGGAUUAGAUACCCUGGUAGUCCAUGCCG